rnacentral:rRNA from 2 species
AGAGUUUGAUCCUGGCUCAGGAUUAACGCUGGCGGCAAGCUUUAUACAUGCAAGUCGAGGGGUAAUGCAAUACUUCGGUAUUGUUCAACGACCGGCGAACGGGUGAGUAACACGUAUGCAACCUACCCUAUAUUGGAGAAUAGCUCUUGUAAGCGGGAAUUAAUACUCCAUAUUAUUCUAAAUUCAUAUGAGUUUAGAAUGAAAGCUUUUACUUUGUAAUUGCGAUAUGGGAUGGGCAUGCGUCCUAUUAGCUAGAUGGUGAGAUAACAGCUCACCAUGGCUACGAUAGGUAGGGGUUCUGAGAGGAAGUACCCCCACAUUGGCACUGAGAUAAGGGCCAGACUCCUAUGGGAGGCAGCAGUAGGGAAUAUUGGUCAAUGGGCGAAAGCGUGAACCAGCUAUGUCGCGUGCAGGAAGAAGGUCUAUUGAUUGUAAACUGCUUUUGUGCGGGAAAAAUAAGCUUCUGUGGAAGCUGAUGAUUGUACCGUAAGAAUAAGUACCGGCUAACUCCGUGCCAGCAGCCGCGGUAAGACGGAGGGUGCAAGCGUUAUCCGGAUUUACUGGGUUUAAAGGGUAUGCAGGUGGCUAAGUAAGUCUGUGGUAAAAUCUGGCAACUCAACUGCCAGUUGGCUACAGAUACUGCUUGGCUAGAGUAUAGUAGAGGUGAGUGGAAUUUUACAAGUAGCGGUGAAAUGCGUAGAUAUGUAAAGGAACUCCGAUAGCGAAGGCAGUUCACUGGGCUAUUACUGACACUGAGAUACGAAAGCGUGGGUAGCAAACAGGUUUAGAUACCCUGGUAGUCCACGCUGUAAACGAUGAUCACUCGAUAUGUGUUUUUCGAAAUGCGUGUCCAAGCGAAAGCGUUAAGUGAUCCACCUGGGGAGUAUGCUCGCAAGAGUGAAACUUAAAGGAAUUGACGGGGAGCCGUACAAGCAGUGGAGCAUGUGGUUUAAUUCGAUGGUACGCGAGGAACCUUACCUAGGUUUAAAUGCAUAACGACGCAUUGAGAAAUCAGUGUUUCCUUCGGGACGGAAUGCAAGGUGUUGCAUGGCCGUCGUCAGCUCGUGCCGUGAGGUGUUGGGUUAAGUCCUGAAACGAGCGCAACCCCUAUAUUUAGUUGCCAGCGUGUAAUGGCGGGGACUCUAAGUAGACUGCCUGCGGAAGCAGUGAGGAAGGAGGGGAUGAAGUCAGGUCAUCAUGAUCCUUAUAUCUAGGGCUACACACGUGCUACAAUGGUGUGUACAGCGAGUUUUUGUGAUCUGGUAACAGUGAAGCUAAUCUUUAAAGCACAUCUCAGUUCGGAUUGAGGUCUGAAACUCGACCUCAUGAAGUUGGAAUUGCUAGUAAUCGCGCAUCAGCAAUGGCGCGGUGAAUACGUUCCCGGCUCUUGUACACACCGCCCAUCAAGCCAUGGGAAUUGAAAGGACUUAAAGACGGUUUCCGUAAGAAGAACCGUUUAGAGUUAAGUCAGUGACUAAGGCUAAGUUGUAACAAGGUAGCCGUACCGGAAGGUGUGGCUGG